AACGAACGCUGGCGGCAUGCCUAACACAUGCAAGUCGAACGAGACCUUCGGGUCUAGUGGCGCACGGGUGCGUAACGCGUGGGAACCUGCCCUUAGGUUCGGAAUAACUCCCCGAAAGGGGUGCUAAUACCGGAUAACGUCUUCGGACCAAAGAUUUAUCGCCCUUGGAUGGGCCCGCGUUGGAUUAGCCAGUUGGUAGGGUAAAAGCCUACCAAGGCGACGAUCCAUAGCUGGUCUGAGAGGAUGAUCAGCCACACUGGGACUGAGACACGGCCCAGACUCCUACGGGAGGCAGCAGUGGGGAAUAUUGGACAAUCGGCGAAAGCCUGAUCCAGCAAUGCCGCGUGAGUGAUGAAGGCCUUAGGGUUGUAAAGCUCUUUUACCCGGGAUGAUAAUGACAGUACCGGGAGAAUAAGCUCCGGCUAACUCCGUG
rnacentral:rRNA from 1 species